GCAGCCGCGGUAAUACGGAGGAUCCAAGCGUUAUCCGGAUUUAUUGGGUUUAAAGGGUGCGUAGGCGGUCUUAUAAGUUAGAGGUGAAAGCUCGGGGCUCAACUCCGGAACUGCCUCUAAUACUGUAGGACUAGAGAGUAGAUGCGGUAGGCGGAAUGUAUGGUGUAGCGGUGAAAUGCGUAGAGAUCAUACAGAACACCGAUUGCGAAGGCAGCUUACCAAACUAUAUCUGACGUUGAGGCACGAAAGCGUGGGUAGCAAACAGGAUUAGAUACCCC
rnacentral:rRNA from 1 species